UGAUCCGCCCACCUCAGCCUCCCAAAGUACUAGGAUUACAGGUGUGAGCCACUGCGCCUGGCCUGGAAUGAGUAAUUUUAAAAUUUGUCUUCCUAGAUACAUUUUACCUAGGCGAAUGUUUUUGUUUUUCAGAGACAAGGUCUCACUCUGCAUUGGAGUGCAGUGGCUCAAUCAGCCCAGACUCCUGGGCUGAAGUGAUCCUCCCACCUCAAACUCCUGAAUAGCUGGGACUACAGAUCAAAGCCUGGAAGUGAAGCAGCUAUUUUGCAAAAGAUGGAAGCUAAAGGAAAUUUGGGUCCCUGAUACUUCUUCAAGCAGCUGUACCUGCCCUGAACUACCUGCCUCCAGAGUUCUGGUUACAGAAGAAAAAUAAAACCUCUGUUUUGUGAAGCA